rnacentral:rRNA from 1 species
UAAGACGUAGGAUGCAAGCGUUGUCCGGAUUUAUUGGGCGUAAAGAGUUCGUAGGCUGUUUGUUAAGUCUGGUGUUAAAGACUGAGGCCCAACCUCGGAAAUGCAUCGGAUACUGGCAGACUUGAGUACGGUAGAGGCGAGUGGAAUUCCCAGUGUAGCGGUGAAAUGCGUAGAUAUUGGGAAGAACACCGGUGGCGUAGGCGACUCGCUGGGCCGCAACUGACGCUGAGGAACGAAAGCCAGGGGAGCGAAUGGGAUUAGAUACCCCAGUAGUCCUGGCUGUAAACGAUGGAUACUAGGCGUUAUGGGUAUCGACCCCCGUAGUGCCGCAGCUAACGCGAUAAGUAUCCCGCCUGAGUAGUACGGCCGCAAGGUUGAAACUCAAAGGAAUUGACGG